GACGAACGCUGGCGGCGCGCUUAACACAUGCAAGUCGAGCGAAGCGGCGGACGGGUGAGUAACACGUGAGUAACCUGCCUUAGACAUUGGGAUAGACUCGGGAAACCGGGAUUAAUACCAAAUGGUCUAAGAUGGACUCGCGUCCCAUUAGCUAGUUGGUAGGUAACGGCCCACCAAGGCGACGAUAGGUAGCCGGCCGUAGAGGGUGAACGGUCACAUUGGAACUGAGAAACGGUCCAAACUCUACGGGAGGCCGCAGUGGGGAAUAUUGCACAAUGGAGGGAACUCUGAUGCAGCGACGCCGCGUGAACGAAGAAGUCUUUCGAGUCGUAAAGUUCUUUUAUAUGGGAAGCGGUACCAUAAGAAAAAGCCCUGGCUAACUACGUGCCAGCAGCCGCGGUAAUAC
rnacentral:rRNA from 1 species